GAUGAUUUUAGUGCUUGCACUAAAUGAAACUAGAUACAAGCGAGCGGCGGACGGGUGAGUAACACGUGGGUAACCUGCCCAAGAGACUGGGAUAACACCUGGAAACAGAUGCUAAUACCGGAUAACAACACUAGACGCAUGUCUAGAGUUUGAAAGAUGGUUCUGCUAUCACUCUUGGAUGGACCUGCGGUGCAUUAGCUAGUUGGUAAGGUAACGGCUUACCAAGGCAAUGAUGCAUAGCCGAGUUGAGAGACUGAUCGGCCACAUUGGGACUGAGACACGGCCCAAACUCCUACGGGAGGCAGCAGUAGGGAAUCUUCCACAAUGGACGAAAGUCUGAUGGAGCAACGCCGCGUGAGUGAAGAAGGGUUUCGGCUCGUAAAGCUCUGUUGGUAGUGAAGAAAGAUAGAGGUAGUAACUGGCCUUUAUUUGACGGUAAUUACUUAGAAAGUCACGGCUAACUACGUGCCAGCAGCCGCGGUAAUACGUAGGUGGCAAGCGUUGUCCGGAUUUAUUGGGCGUAAAGCGAGUGCAGGCGGUUCAAUAAGUCUGAUGUGAAAGCCUUCGGCUCAACCGGAGAAUUGCAUCAGAAACUGUUGAACUUGAGUGCAGAAGAGGAGAGUGGAACUCCAUUGGUAG
rnacentral:rRNA from 1 species